AGCUUGCUCUUAUGAAGUUAGCGGCGGACGGGUGAGUAACACGUGGGUAACCUGCCCAUAAGACUGGGAUAACUCCGGGAAACCGGGGCUAAUACCGGAUAACAUUUUGAACUGCAUGGUUCGAAAUUGAAAGGCGGCUUCGGCUGUCACUUAUGGAUGGACCCGCGUCGCAUUAGCUAGUUGGUGAGGUAACGGCUCACCAAGGCAACGAUGCGUAGCCGACCUGAGAGGGUGAUCGGCCACACUGGGACUGAGACACGGCCCAGACUCCUACGGGAGGCAGCAGUAGGGAAUCUUCCGCAAUGGACGAAAGUCUGACGGAGCGACGCCGCGUGAGUGAUGAAGGCUUUCGGGUCGUAAAACUCUGUUGUUAGGGAAGAACAAGUGCUAGUUGAAUAAGCUGGCACCUUGACGGUACCUAACCAGAAAGCCACGGCUAACUACGUGCCAGCAGCCGCGGUAAUACGUAGGUGGCAAGCGUUAUCCGGAAUUAUUGGGCGUAAAGCGCGCGCAGGUGGUUUCUUAAGUCUGAUGUGAAAGCCCACGGCUCAACCGUGGAGGGUCAUUGGAAACU
rnacentral:rRNA from 1 species